rnacentral:rRNA from 1 species
CCUACGGGGCGCAGCAGUGAGGAAUAUUGGUCAAUGGCCGGAAGGCUGAACCAGCCAUGCCGCGUGAAGGUCAGUGCCCUAUGGGCGUUAAACUUCUUUUGUGCGGGAGCAAUAAUGGUCACGUGUGGCCAGACGAGAGUACCGUACGAAUAAGCAUCGGCUAACUCCGUGCCAGCAGCCGCGGUAAUACGGGGGAUGCAAGCGUUAUCCGGAUUUAUUGGGUUUAAAGGGUGCGUAGGCGGCCUUUUAAGUCAGCGGUGAAAGUCUGUGGCUCAACCAUAGAAUUGCCGUUGAAACUGGGGGGCUUGAGUAUGUGUGAGGCAGGCGGAAUGCGUGGUGUAGCGGUGAAAUGCUUAGAUAUCACGCAGAACCCCGAUUGCGAAGGCAGCUUACUAAACUGCCACUGACAUUGAUGCUCGAAAGUGUGGGUAUCAAACAGGAUUAGAUACCCGAGUAGUC